AUUUGACUGAGAGACAGUUUGUCUGAAAACCUCUCUUCCUUCCAUACUUCUGAGUCAAGAUGAUGCUUCUGAUUCAAAUGGAUCACUUCAGUUUGGAUCUCAACCAUAAUCUGUAUAUAGAACUGGACACUUAAGUUAAUCAAGGAAUCAUCUGCAUACCCACAUCACCACUUCCCCAAGUUUUGUGCUUGCCUAG
rnacentral:lncRNA from 11 species